GGGGGCGAAACGGCUUCGACGGAGACGACGAGGUUUUGGUAGCAUGUCGAGCUUUCUAUUGACUCGUAAAAUCAAUGGAAACUAAAGAUAAUCGCAGACGAUUAUAACUACGCUGUAGCCGCUUAAAGCAGCUACCGUCCUGCUGAAAUUUAUCCUGUAGAUUUCAGUUAAAGGGCGUCGACUAUACGGGAAAGCUUGAUACAGUUGUCUGAGCUGUAUGAGGUUAAAUUUAUCAGGCUAUUCUGAUAUGUAUCUUGCCUGAAAGAGACUAUCAGCAAAAUUUAAAGUUCGGGAUAAACAUGUAGAAGCCACUGCUAAAUCUCUUCGGACGCGGGUUCAACUCCCGCCGCCUCCACCA
rnacentral:tmRNA from 1 species